rnacentral:lncRNA from 1 species
CCCGAUUCCAAACUAACUGUACCCUCACCAGAGCGCCUCGCCCCAGGGUCACCGCUGUCCGUCCCCGUGCGCUCCCAGAAGGGGUGGCCCUGCCCCCACGCAGGUCACACACACGAGAGACACAGGCAAGUUGCUAACUUUUGUCAGAUUAUUUCUUGGGAGCUGCGACGCCUCACGGGGUUGGGGCGGAUUCAGAGUUUCGAGUUGCCACUAACACGACUCCGGCCGUGCUCUCCUUGGCCCACCCGCGUCCCCCACUGUCCGCCACGCCGCGUUCAGCUCUCUUGUCCCGGGUGUCAACUUCACCCCCAGAUCCGGAGCAGCGCGCUCUGACGGCGUCCCCGGGGCCGAUAGCCACCUCCCGGAUCUGCGCCUGCUUGCAGCGGAUUGGGGGACUCGAUCCGGAUACUGUCCCACGGCCGCUCGUCCAGAACACUGGCGGCCUCCGCGGUGUCCCAGCCUGUGACCCCAAAUCCGCUCGAGAGCGCCUGAGCCCGG